rnacentral:rRNA from 1 species
CAAUAGCGUAUAUUAAAGUUGUUGCAGUUAAAAAGCUCGUAGUUGGAUUUCGGGGCAGCCUGGCUGGUCCGCCGCAAGGCGAGUACUGGUCAGCCGCCCUUCCUCUCGAAAGCCCCGACUGCUCUUUAUUGCAGUGGUCGGGUAGUUCGGGACGUUUACUUUGAAAAAAUUAGAGUGUUCAAGGCAGGCCUACGCCUGAAUACAUUAGCAUGGAAUAAUGGAAGAGGACCUCGGUCCUAUUUUGUUGGUUUCCAGGACCGGAGUAAUGAUUAAGAGGGACAGUUGGGGGCAUUCGUAUUUAAUUGUCAGAGGUGAAAUUCUCGGAUUUAUGAAAGACGAACAACUGCGAAAGCAUUUGCCAAGGAUGUUUUCAUUAA